GCAUGGCUGAAUUCUGUGUUACUCAUGAAAUAGUAAGUACAGUCAGACACCAUGCUAAAUUACUGUCUUCACAUGCUGACUCAACAACAGGAUAAGGGCCCUAAGCAUGUGCCUCAUUCUUACGUCAGAGUGAAUACAGAA